GACGAACGCUGGCGGCGUGCUUAACACAUGCAAGUCGAACGGAAAGGCCCUGCUUUUGUGGGGUGCUCGAGUGGCGAACGGGUGAGUAACACGUGAGUAACCUGCCCUUGACUUUGGGAUAACUUCAGGAAACUGGGGCUAAUACCGGAUAGGAGCUCCUGCUGCAUGGUGGGGGUUGGAAAGUUUCGGCGGGUGGGGAAGGGCUCGCGGCUUAUCAGCUUGUUGGUGGGGUAGUGGCUUACCAAGGCUUUGACGGGUAGCCGGCCUGAGAGGGUGACCGGCCACAUUGGGACUGAGAUACGGCCCAGACUCCUACGGGAGACAGCAGUGGGGAAUAUUGCACGAUGGGCGCAAGCCUGAUGCAGCAACGCCGCGUGCGGGAUGACGGCCUUCGGGUUGUAAACCGCUUUCGCCUGUGACGAAGCGUGAGUGACGGUAAUGGGUAAAGAAGCACCGGCUAACUCCGUG
rnacentral:rRNA from 1 species